UACGAAGGGGGCUAGCGUUGUUCGGAAUCACUGGGCGUAAAGCGCACGUAGGCGGAUCUUUAAGUCAGGGGUGAAAUCCCGAGGCUCAACCUCGGAACUGCCCUUGAUACUGGGGAUCUCGAGUCCGGAAGAGGUUGGUGGAACUCCGAGUGUAGAGGUGAAAUUCGUAGAUAUUCGGAAGAACACCAGUGGCGAAGGCGGCCAACUGGUCCGGCACUGACGCUGAGGUGCGAAAGCGUGGGGAGCAAGCAGG
rnacentral:rRNA from 1 species